AGUGAACGCUGGCGGUAUGCCUAACACAUGCAAGUCGAACGGCAGCACAGUAAGAUCUUGCUCUUACGGGUGGCGAGUGGCGGACGGGUGAGGAAUACAUCGGAAUCUACUUUUUCGUGGGGGAUAACGUAGGGAAACUUACGCUAAUACCGCAUACGACCUACGGGUGAAAUCAGGGGAUCUUCGGACCUUGCGCGAUUGAAUGAGCCGAUGUCGCAUUAGCUAGUUGGCUGGGUAAAGGCCCACCAAGGCGACGAUCCGUAGCUGGCCUGAGAGGAUGAUCAGCCACACUGGAACUGAGACACGGUCCAGACUCCUACGGGAGGCAGCAGUGGGGAAUAUUGGACAAUGGGCGCAAGCCUGAUGCAGCCAUGCCGCGUGGGUGAAGAAGGCCUUCGGGUUGUAAAGCCCUGUUGUUGGGAAAGAAAAGCAGCAGGUGAAUACCUGGCUGUUCUGACGGUACCCAAAGAAUAAGCACCGGCUAACUUCGUG
rnacentral:rRNA from 1 species